rnacentral:other from 1 species
AGAUUUCUGCGGUGUACGAUACUCCCAUAUAAUUCAACCGACAUAUUAAAUACGGGAGUCUGAUGUUUAAAGAUUGAUAACAGGCCUCUUUUUCAGAGGAAGUUAGAUGUUUUUAACUUGACACCCACCUGCAAUCACGCGGGUCUGAAUUAAUUGGGAUAACGGCAUUGCGGGAAUAAA